AGUAACACGUAUGCAACCUGCCUGCACAGCCGGAUAAUCGGGAGAAAUUCCGUCUAAUACGGCAUAAUGCAUCGACGGGACAUCCUGUUGGUGCCAAAGGUUGAUUCCGGUGGCGGAUGGGCAUGCGUCGCAUUAGUUAGUUGGCGGUGUAACGGACCACCAAGACGACGAUGCGUAGGGGUUCUGAGAGGAAGGUCCCCCACACUGGUACUGAGACACGGACCAGACUCCUACGGGAGGCAGCAG
rnacentral:rRNA from 1 species